AAGUUGACGGGGCCGCACAAGCGGUGGAGCAUGUGGUUUAAUUCGACGCAACGCGAAGAACCUUACCAGGGCUUGACAUCCCCUGACCGCGUAUGAAAGUACGUUUUCACCCUCGGGUGACAGGGAGACAGGUGGUGCAUGGUUGUCGUCAGCUCGUGUCGUGAGAUGUUGGGUUAAGUCCCGCAACGAGCGCAACCCCUACGUUUAGUUGCUAACGCGUGAAGGCGAGCACUCUAGACGAACUGCCGUUGACAAAACGGAGGAAGGUGGGAUGACGUCAACUCAUCAUGCCCCUUAUGUUCUGGGCUACACACGUGCUACAAUGGCCGGUACAGACGGAGGCGAAGCCGCGAGGCGGAGCAAAUCCGAAAAAGCCGGUCUCAGUUCGGAUUGCAGGCUGCAAUUCGCCUGCAUGAAGUCGGAAUCGCUAGUAAUCGCAGGUCAGCAUACUGCGGUGAAUACGUUCCCGGGCCUU
rnacentral:rRNA from 1 species